rnacentral:piRNA from 1 species
UGAUAGACACCAUAUAAGGUAG